UCGAGCGCAGGAAGCGACACUGACCCCUUCAGGGUGACGUGUUGUGGAAUGAGCGGCGGACGGGUGAGUAACACGUGGGCAACCUACCUAUAAGACUGGGAUAACUCAUGGAAACGUGAGCUAAUACCGGAUAAGACUUCACUUCACCUGAAGAGAAGAUAAAAGGCGGCUUUUAGCUGUCACUUAUAGAUGGGCCCGCGGCGCAUUAGCUAGUUGGUGAGGUAACGGCUCACCAAGGCCACGAUGCGUAGCCGACCUGAGAGGGUGAUCGGCCACACUGGGACUGAGACACGGCCCAGACUCCUACGGGAGGCAGCAGUAGGGAAUCUUCCGCAAUGGACGAAAGUCUGACGGAGCAACGCCGCGUGAACGAUGAAGGUUUUCGGAUCGUAAAGUUCUGUUGUUAGGGAAGAACACGUACCGUUCGAAUAGGGCGGUAUCUUGACGGUACCUAACGAGAAAGCCCCGGCUAACUACGUGCCAGCAGCCGCGGUAAUACGUAGGGGGCAAGCGUUGUCCGGAAUUAUUGGGCGUAAAGCGCGCGCAGGCGGUUCUUUAAGUCUGAUGUGAAAUCUUGCGGCUCAACCGCAAGCGGUCAUUUGGAAACUGGGGAACUUGAGUACAGAAGAGGAGAGUGGAAUUCCAUGUGUAGCGGUGAAAUGCGUAGAUAUAUGGAGGAACACCAGUGGCGAAGGCGACUCUCUGGUCUGUAACUGACGCUGAGGCGCGAAAGCGUGGGGAGCAAACAGGAUUAGAUACCCUGGUAGUGCACGCCGUAAACGAUGAGUGCUAGGUGUUAGGGGGUUUCCGCCCCUUAGUGCUGCAGUUAACGCAUUAAGCACUCCGCCUGGGGAGUACGGCCGCAAGGCUGAAACUCAAAAGAAUUGACGGGGACCCGCACAAGCGGUGGAGCACGUGGUUUAAUUCGAAGCAACGCGAAGAACCUUACCAGGUCUUGACAUCCUCUGAUACCCCUAGAGAUAGGGCAUUCCCUUCGGGGACAGAGUGACAGGUGGUGCAUGGUUGUCGUCAGCUCGUGUCGUGAGAUGUUGGGUUAAGUCCCGCAACGAGCGCAACCCUUGAUCUUAGUUGCCAGCAUUCAGUUGGGCACUCUAAGGUGACUGCCGGUGACAAACCGGAGGAAGGUGGGGAUGACGUCAAAUCAUCAUGCCCCUUAUGACCUGGGCUACACACGUGCUACAAUGGAUGGUACAAAGGGCCGCAAAGCCGCGAGGUCGAGCAAAUCCCAUAAAACCAUUCUCAGUUCGGAUUGUAGGCUGCAACUCGCCUACAUGAAGCCGGAAUCGCUAGUAAUCGUGGAUCAGCAUGCCACGGUGAAUACGUUCCCGGGUCUUGUACACACCGCCCGUCACACCACGAGAGUUAGUAACACCCGAAGUCGGUGAGGUAACCUUUACAGGAGCCAGCCGCCGAAGGUGGGACCAAUGAUUGGGGU
rnacentral:rRNA from 1 species